ensembl:lncRNA
AUGUGGACCCUGAAGCCUCAAAUGUGGCAUGUUACUUAAAGUUACACUAAAUUACACAUAAUCCAGCUUUUAUGAAACUUGACUCUAACUUCAAUAACAUGUAACAUUUAUAAGUCCAUUAAAACAAGAGUUCCCUCUAGAACUUUCACGUGACAUCACAGAGAUAUUUCUCUGUUAUUGGAACUCCUUCCCUUCCAACCUUUCCUGAAGUCCUAUUGGCUUACGCCAGUCAAUGACUGGCCAAUUGACGCAAAGUAUAAUAUCUCUGUGAUGUCUCGUUCCCGCUCUCAGGGCGUUUUGCAACCCUCCUUUCCCCCAUCCCAUUCCCAUUUGAAUAUAAACACCAUCCCCAGCAUCCUGAUCCAAUUGAGUAUGAACAGCAGAGGUGUCUCAGGUGUCACGUCUAUAUGUUUGUGUUUUGACUUGGCAAACACAUAGAUCCUCCCUUUAGCACUACAAAUAGUCCUUCCCAUGUCAGCAUUUUCUUCCCUCCUAGAAUGUAAGCCAUCUGUUGUUUUAUUAUAACCGUUCGCCUAAAUAUAGGCUCUCGCUUUCAAACACGGUCGCCCAGUGACACAGCCACACCCUGGCUUUUGAAUUCGUUCAUCUAGCUCAUCUUCCCAUAUAAAUAUGGACCGCUUUGCCUCAUAAUACCACCAGCGUUUCUCGCUGCCUCCCUCUUUCUCUCCCCAUUCACAGAAACACUGAAUGACGGAUGUGUCAUUGAUGAAGAUGAUGAUGGUGAUUGUGCUGAAGAAGACAGUGAUGAUUCAGAGGCGCUCUGAGCUGUAACAUCCCCCUCAUUCCCUGUGAGUCAGCUCUCCUCACACCCCCCACCCACCUCCUCUCCGGCUCCCUGUCUUCCCACGAGCUGGACACCGGCAGUAAGACCCUACAGCUGCGACCACACGGGGGGAGAUGAUGAUGACGACGAAGUCAUCCGGUGGGGACAUGAGGCAACUAUCCUGGCAGUAUGUGUUUUUAAUGUCCAGUCACGAAAUGAAACCGAGGCGAAAAGCUGUGUGAAAUGAAUCUCAUCGCUGUGAGUGUGCUCUAGAGAAAAGCAAUGAUCUGCUCUCUGACUUCUGUCAAACGCUGCAGGUUUGAUUUUCUUGUAUGGGAGAAAGAGGCUGAGAGAAAAGGCUUGUUUUGUGUGUUUGGGGAGAGAAUAUUUGCAUUUGUUUUCAAUUCUCUAAUGUCAAGCUCCAUUGCAAUGCCUAUAGGGCUAUGGGCUGAGAGGAUCUGAAGUUGAGCUCUGCUUCACUGGAGUCAGCUGCCCUCAGAGGCUCGUCUCCUGAGACACUCGAGAAGAACUACACACCACACACCCCUCAUCGUGACGAAUGAAGAAAUCCUUCUGUCAAUACACUGCAG